GUGCUCGUUUCAGCAACACAUAUAUUAAAAUUGGAAUGAUACAGAGAAGAUUAACAUGGCCCCUGAACAGGGAUGACAUGCAAAUUCAUGAAGCGUUCCAUAUUUUU